UUGUUUUAAAUUGCAAAUAAAAGUAUUAAAAAAAAAAUAAAUAAAUAAAUAAAUAAAUAAAGGGACACAUUUCAAAACCAUCAAAAAAAAUAAAAUAAUAAUUACAGGCUCCCAGACAACCAGCUCUGGAAGAAUUUCUACAGGGGCACAGGUCGCCCCCAUGGUUACCCACCUACUUUGUGGGAUGCCUGGGUUGAGUGAUCUGCCCU